GACGAACGCUGGCGGCGUGCCUAAUACAUGCGAGUAGAACGCACAGUUUAUACCGUAGCUUGCUACACCAUAGACUGUGAGUUGCGAACGGGUGAGUAACGCGUAGGUAACCUGCCUGGUAGCGGGGGAUAACUAUUGGAAACGAUAGCUAAUACCGCAUAAUAUUAAUUAUUGCAUGAUAAUUAAUUGAAAGGUGCAAUUGCACCACUACCAGAUGGACCUGCGUUGUAUUAGCUAGUAGGUGAGGUAACGGCUCACCUAGGCGACGAUACAUAGCCGACCUGAGAGGGUGAUCGGCCACACUGGGACUGAGACACGGCCCAGACUCCUACGGGAGGCAGCAGGAGGGAAUCUUCGGCAAUGGACGAAAGUCUGACCGAGCAACGCCGCGUGAGUGAAGAAGGGUUUCGGAUCGUAAAGCUCUGUUGUAAGAGAAGAACGGGUGUGAGAGUGGAAAGUUCACACUGUGACGGUAUCUUACCAGAAAGGGACGGCUAACUACGUG
rnacentral:rRNA from 1 species